UAAGUGCGUAUAAGGUGACGUGCCGCCAACGUAUCAAAGUGGGAGGGAUAUCAUCCUACAAAUAUGUGCCAUCUUUCCCCCCCAACACCAACCAUGGGAAGUAAAUUUAAAAAUCGACCAGAAACCACUCCGACGACCAGACACAAGGCAAGAAAAAAAAAUCCAAAAACUCUCCGUCCAGAGAAUGAAAGGGUGAGGGAAGACUCGGGAAAUGCAUGAGACAAGAAACGUCAAAAAAAAAAAAAAAAGAAAAGCCAGCAUUAAAGAAGAUCUGUUGACAACUCAACAUACUGUGAAGGUUAUUUCCUUGAAUCCAGGUAGUUUGGGAACCUUUCGACGCUUUCUCCAGAACAGGAAUGAAUGCAAGAGACAGAAGACAAGCCGUAAAAGCGUGUGGGGACRCAUCCUGGAACGAUGUGAGACGCCAAGGGUGACUUUGAAAGAGGAAGAUGGGUAGCCCUCAGCACUUUUCCCUGAUCUCCAAGGAGGGCAGUAUGUGUGAAUGCACAGUUGCCUCUGUGCAUCGGCAUGUUGUCCUGAGGCAUUACUCUUGUUAAAGUUAUUAGAGAAGAUGUUUAGCACUAAUCAGAGGAGGGCCAAAGGGACCAAAGCUAAAUGGCCUCAUCAUCACAGGGCCCUGGCGGUGAUAAAUCUAGCCCCAAGCAUUAAGAGGUCCGGCUGAAUGUGUAGAUGCAAAGCAGUGCAAUGUAAAUCAGUACUUAGAAAUUGAAUUUGGUCCUUUUUUUAUCUGCUUUGUAGACAAAUUACUUUUUUUUUCUUUUUUUUUAUCAAAACAAUGAAGUACUCAAUCUUACUGAGGAUUUUUUAGUUUUAAUUAUUACUCUUAUAUUUUAAGUUCGUUCCUUUUUCAAUGUAACAAAGGAUAAAAAAAAAGAAACAAUGGAAACGUGAGGAAACACGUCCAUCCUUAUUUCUCUUUGUUCACUGCUUUUAUAGAUCGGAUUGUUUCCUACUUUCUCCACUUAGUUUUUUUCCAGUAAACCCCAUUCUCUUCCUUCACCGGGUGAUCUAGCCUCGAGCAAACUAGAACGUAAUGUUAAGGCACUAACUACAGUGUGUCUGCACACAGACCCAGCAGAGAGAAAGAAACAAUCAUGUGUGAAAUUAGAUUUCUCCACAAACAGAGGGGAGUCAGAGCCAUAAAGUACACCAAGCUCCUUGGCUUUGAGGGAUCAGCCAAAACUAAAUAAAUAAAUAAAAAAUUGUACAAAUACCUUCA